GGGCCUCGUCAUCUAAUUAG
rnacentral:misc_RNA from 1 species